rnacentral:rRNA from 1 species
AGAGUUUGAUCCUGGCUCAGGAUGAACGCUAGCGGCAGGCCUAAUACAUGCAAGUCGAACGGUGUAGCAAUACAUAGUGGCGCACGGGUGCGUAACACGUAUGCAACCUACCUUAUACUGGGGGAUAGCCUUUGGAAACGGAGAUUAAUACCCCAUAGUACAUUUGAUUGGCAUCAAUUAAAUGUUAAAGAUUUAUCGGUAUAAGCUGGGCAUGCGUCCAAUUAGUUAGUUGGUGAGGUAAUGGCUCACCAAGACUUUGAUUGGUAGGGGAACUGAGAGGUUAAUCCCCCACACUGGCACUGAGAUACGGGCCAGACUCCUACGGGAGGCAGCAGUAGGGAAUAUUGGGCAAUGGAGGCAACUCUGACCCAGCCAUGCCGCGUGCAGGAAGAAGGCGUUAUGCGUUGUAAACUGCUUUUAUAUAGGAAGAAAUAGUCCUUGCGAGGAAAGUUGACGGUACUAUAUGAAUAAGCACCGGCUAACUCCGUGCCAGCAGCCGCGGUAAUACGGAGGGUGCAAGCGUUGUCCGGAUUUAUUGGGUUUAAAGGGUGCGUAGGCGGUUUAUUAAGUCAGUGGUGAAAGACGGUCGCUCAACGAUUGCAGUGCCAUUGAUACUGGUAGACUUGAGUGGGAUUGAGGUAGCUGGAAUGGAUAGUGUAGCGGUGAAAUGCAUA